UACGGGGGGGGUAAGCGUUGUUCGGAAUUACUGGGCGUAAAGGGCUCGUAGGCGGCCAACUAAGUCGGACGUGAAAUCCCUCAGCUUAACUGGGGAACUGCGUCUGGUACUGGAUGGCUUGGAUUUGGGAGAGGGAUGCGGAAUUCCAGGUGUAGCGGUGAAAUGCGUAGAUAUCUGGAGGAACACCGGUGGCGAAGGCGGCAUCCUGGACCAACAUUGACGCUGAGGAGCGAAAGCCAGGGGAGCAAACGGG
rnacentral:rRNA from 1 species